rfam:Cavia porcellus supercont2_95 genomic scaffold, whole genome shotgun sequence.
UGGUGGCCCAACGUGGAACCUGAGAAUAGGGGACUUAGUGAAGGACGCUGUUUGUGGGCCCAAAGUAGAAAAAGGAAAAGAAAAUAGAGGACCGGCGUGGGAGCCUGCUACGCCACUGAACCUCGAUAAAGUGAACAGUGAUUAUGGGAAAAGAAAUUAGCCAGCAUGAAAUUUUUGUUGAAAGUUUAGAAAAGCUUUAAAGACACC